rnacentral:rRNA from 1 species
UACAGAGGGUGCAAGCGUUGUUCGGAAUUAUUGGGCGUAAAGCGCGUGUAGGCGGCUUUGCAAGUCGGGUGUGAAAGCCCUCGGCUCAACCGAGGAAGUGCGCCCGAAACUGCAGAGCUUGAGUACUGGAGAGGAUAGUGGAAUUCCUGGUGUAGCGGUGAAAUGCGCAGAUAUCAGGAAGAACACCCGUGGCGAAGGCGGCUCUCUGGUACGUGACUGACGCUGAGACGCGAAAGCGUGGGGAGCGAACAGG